CAGUGUACACUCGUAUAGGUGGGGCAGUGUACACUCGUAUAGGUGGGGCAGUGUACACUCGUAUAGGUGGGGCAGUGUACACUCGUAUAGGUGGGGCAGUGUACACUCGUAUAGGUGGGGCAGUGUACACUCGUAUAGGUGGGGCAGUGUACACUCGUAUAGGUGGGGCAGUGUACACUCGUAUAGGUGGGGCAGUGUACACUCGUAUAGGUGGGGCAGUGUACACUCGUAUAGGUGGGGCAGUGUACACUCGUAUAGGUGGGGCAGUGUACACUCGUAUUGGUGGGGCAGUGUACACUCGUAUUGGUGGGGCAGUGUACACUCGUAUUGGUGGGGCAGUGUACACUCGUAUUGGUGGGGCAGUGUACACUCGUAUUGGUGGGGCAGUGUACACUCGUAUUGGUGGGGCAGUGUACACUCGUAUUGGUGGGGCAGUGUACACUCGUAUUGGUGGGGCAGUGUACACUCGUAUUGGUGGGGCAGUGUACACUCGUAUUGGUGGAGCAGUGUACACUCGUAUUGGUGGGGCAGUGUACACUCGUAUUGUUGGAGCAGUGUAC